AGCUGGGUCCUGCGCAACGGAAAUUUGCGAACCCCGUCAGGUCCGGAAGGAAGCAGCGGUAGUAAAACCUUCCGUGUGCCGCAGGUAACCUAGCUAUC
rnacentral:SRP_RNA from 1 species